AGUGAACGCUGGCGGUAGGCCUAACACAUGCAAGUCGAACGGCAGCACAGUAAGAGCUUGCUCUUACGGGUGGCGAGUGGCGGACGGGUGAGGAAUACAUCGGAAUCUACUUUUUCGUGGGGGAUAACGUAGGGAAACUUACGCUAAUACCGCAUACGACCUACGGGUGAAAGCAGGGGAUCUUCGGACCUUGCGCGAUUGAAUGAGCCGAUGUCGGAUUAGCUAGUUGGCGGGGUAAAGGCCCACCAAGGCGACGAUCCGUGGCUGGUCUGAGAGGAUGAUCGGCCACACUGAAAUGGGACCACGGUCCAGACUCCAACGGGAGGCAGCGGUGGGGAGUAUUGAACAAUGGCGCAAGCCUGAUCCAGCCAUACCGCGUGGGUGAAGAAGGCCUUCGGGUUGUAAAGCCCUUUUGUUGGGAAAGAAAAGCAGCAGGUUAAUACCCCGCUGUUCUGACGGUACCCAAAGAAUAAGCACCGGCUAACUUCGUG
rnacentral:rRNA from 1 species